rnacentral:tRNA from 2 species
GCACCCUUAGCUCAGUUGGUAGAGCAGCGCAUUUACACUGCGAAGGUCGUAGGUUCGAGUCCUACAGGGUGCACCA